AUUGAACGCUGGCGGCAGGCCUAACACAUGCAAGUCGAACGAGUGGCGGACGGGUGAGUAAUGUCUGGGAAACUGCCCGUUGGAGGGGGAUAACUACUGGAAACGGUCGCUAAUACCGCAUACUCUCGUUUGAGCCUAGAUGGGAUUGGCUAGUGGGUGGGGGAACGGCUCACCAAGGCGACGAUCCCUAGCUGGUCUGAGAGGCGGACCGGCCACACUGGAACUGGGAAACGGCCCAGACCCCUACGGGAGGAAGCAGUGGGGAAUAUUGCAAAAUGGGGGAAAGCCUGAGGCAGCCAGGCCGCGUGUAUGAAGAAGGCCUUCGGGUGGUAAAGUACUUUCAGCGAGGAGGCGUUACUCGCAGAAGAAGCACCGGCUAACUCCGUGCCAGCCGCCGCGGUAAUUC
rnacentral:rRNA from 1 species